rnacentral:lncRNA from 1 species
UGUCAAAAAUAAGGACAGACAUUUGAAAGCCAAAUAAUGACUAGGUAGAAGAGACUGAAAUCUCAAACUCGGGGCACAGUCACAGCCCAAUAGAAAAUUAAUAAACUAGAAGGCAGGAUGAGUAAAUCUGCCAUAAUGCAGCAUAGAAGAACAAAGAAAGGAAAUACAAGAGAGCAUAAAAGGUACGAAAGAUGCAGAAGCGUAGCAUCUGGUCACAUUUCCCCGAAGCCAAGAAGGGGAGAUAACUCUAUUCAAAGAAGCUGAUGAGUUUCCCAAAUCGAUGAAAGACCUCAGGACCCAGAUUUAAAAAGCAAAACAUUCCAAGCAAGAUCAAAGCAAUCUUCACCUACACCAAUUGCUUUGAAGUUGAAGAACAUCAAAAGACAAAGGCUCUCUAAAAGGCAGCCAGAGAGAGAGGGCAGGCUAAGAAAGAGAAGGAAAUAAUUAGGAUGACAGGCAACUCAUGAACAACAAUAAUAAAAGCCAGAAGACUGCGGAGUAAGUUCAAAGAGGAGAGAGAAAUGUCAUCUCUAAAAUGGUGUAACAUUAGGUAUCGUUUAAGAUCCAGGAGAAAAGCAGAGACCAAGAAGAAACACGUCAUUAUGAGCCUGCUCUCGCUAGAGGCAUAGUGAAGGAAGGGCUGAGUGCAAGAAAGCAUGUUAAGCAAAGAGACGUGUGAGUGUGUGAGUUAAUGUAAAACCUGGAAUGGAACAGUCAUAACGAGGAGUCACCAAGGCCAAAUUACCCUCCUGAACAAAGACACGGGGGUGGAGAGGAGGGUGCUUAGAGCCACAGCGACGUGAGAUUGCGGCUUCAUCUGGGAGGAAAGUGAGUCUCAUUAUCCUCAGGCUCAGAAAAUCACUAAAGUUCAGCACUUGAAUGAGAGGGCACUGGGUCCACGCUGGAGCAUCCCAGAGCUGAUCAAUCCCUCUGGAAGCAGGGACACCCCUGGCUCCAUAGGAUUCCAUUUUGCUGAACUACUGGUUCAGAAACACAAGAGCCUGACAUCUAUGGGAACACAGAGCCAGAAAACCCAGGCACAGACCAGGACAUCUCCGAGGUGAUUUAUUAAUAAGUAACUGCAGGAUAUCCUGACACUCAGCAAUAAAAUCAAAGCAAUAAAAAUGCUUUUCUAAGAAAAUGGCAGUCAUGUCAGGCAGAAGAUCAAACCUGGGCUAGGGCCUUACAAAACAUCUAAUUAUAUCCUAACGGCAUGGAGAGGCCUGUGGGGCAUGUGGUGGGGCCCAGGCCCCCUCUGCUGCUCAGCCCUCCCGGCACCGCCUUCAGUCCUCAAGCCUGAGAGCCUCUGUGCUUGGGGGGCCACCUGGCCUCAGCACCAUCCAAGUGGGCACAUAUGUGCCUUCACCCCUUCCUCUGAUGAUUCUCUGGAUAAAACUUUCCAUGGCCUUGUCUUAAUUAAGAAAUGAUGCUUCUGAAAGUGAAAUUCCAACUGCUAUUUCUGAUUUAGUGGAAUGAGUCCAAAACACCAUGUUCGCUGUAGAGUUUUUAAAAUUUUGAUUGAUUCUCCUAAAUUAAUACUAAUCCUUGGAGAUGAAGAUUCCUCCCUAAGAAAGGUGCUGUGGCUCAUCAGGCUGGGAAGUCUGAGCCGGCUCUGCACAGACGUGCGAUGAGAUGCCCGAUUCCCGUGUGUGGCUGUCUCUCAGCUCUAGCUCAAGAGAAAGCUAAAAAGCCCAGGGCCGCCAAUUUUCUUCUUCAAAGCUUUCAAAACCAUAUAUUGGCGACAUGUGCCUGAUUUUUACCUUAAAAAAAUGAGCCCAGCAUUUUCUUGAAACUUAAUCUUUGAGAUACUCAAAACCACAAAAAUUUAACCACUUCAUAUUUCCUUGCAGGUAUUUCCAGCAGGUAUCUGCUAGACGCGUUCUCUCUGCCAGCCCGCUGACUUGCUAGCUGUGGAGCAACUGCAGUACGUGCCCGUCCCUGUCACCAGGGGCUGGCCAUCAACAGAAGCUGCUCCUUCCAAGCCGGCCACGCGUCUACUACUUCAUCAUCCUCUCGGGGGUGCAUCCACGGCUCUCCCUACAAUGGGAGCUUCCUGAGAGGCACUUUCAUUUCUCUGUGCUUCCUCUGGGCUCACCAGCAAGUGCUAAACUGAAGGAAGAUAGAGUUAAAUUGUUUAGCAAUCAGAGUUUCUAUGACUGUCCAUCAUCACUGCAUCUCUUCUAUGACAUGAGACAUUGGUGCGAUGUGUCAUUAUGUUCAAAUGUGUGGGUCGGCCAGGGUGUAUCUGUAUGGACUGAAUGUGUCCCCAUAAAAUUUGUAUGUUGAAGCCCUAACCCCCAAUAUGAGGAUAUUUGGAGCUGGGGCCUUUGGGAGGUAAUUAAGUUAGAUGAGGUCAGAUGGACAUGGCCCCUGUGGUUGAGAUUAGCCCUAAUACCAAGAGAUAGCAGAGAGCUCCACCCUACUGUUGGCCACGUGCACACAUAGGGAGAAGGGGGCCGUCUAUAAGCAAGGAAGAGAGCCCUCAUCAGAAACCGAUCGCGCCAGCAUGCUGAUCUUGGAUCUGAGGCCUCCAGAACUGAGGGAAAAUAAAUGUCUGCUGUUGAAGUCACCCAGUCCAUAUUGUUUUGUUAUGGCAGCUGGGGUAAGACAGUGUCCUUCUCGGUUUCUACCCUUAACAGGAUAAAAAUCCCUGGAGCAAACCCUCUCCUUCCUCCCAAAGGAGCCAUGGGAAGCCACUCUCUACAAUUUGCAGCAAACACGGAAGCACCAGAAUCCUGCACGUAUGCUCGGAGGAAACGCACAGAGGACAAAUGCAGGGUCGCAGGAUACAAGAAUGGCAAAGGCUGACUCCAGAGAACGUUGUUAAGCUUCAAAUCUAUACUGUGCAUUGGAAGGUAAACAAGCAUCAUCCACACAACUAACUGACUGCAUUCACCAGCACACUCUGAAGUCUUCAACUACUGCUAUUAAUCUAUUUUUCUCAACAUUAUUUUCUUUCCUCA